rnacentral:rRNA from 1 species
UACGUAGGUGGCAAGCGUUGUCCGGAUUUACUGGGUGUAAAGGGCGUGUAGCCGGGCCUACAAGUCAGAUGUGAAAUCCGGGGGCUCAACCCCCGAACUGCAUUUGAAACUGUAGGUCUUGAGUAUCGGAGAGGCAGGCGGAAUUCCUAGUGUAGCGGUGAAAUGCGUAGAUAUUAGGAGGAACACCAGUGGCGAAGGCGGCCUGCUGGACAGCAACUGACGCUGAGGCGCGAAAGCGUGGGGAGCAAACAGG